UACGGGGGGGGCAAGCGUUAUCCGGAAUUAUUGGGCGUAAAGAGCUCGUAGGCGGUUUGUCGCGUCUGCCGUGAAAGUCCGGGGCUCAACUCCGGAUCUGCGGUGGGUACGGGCAGACUAGAGUGAUGUAGGGGAGACUGGAAUUCCUGGUGUAGCGGUGAAAUGCGCAGAUAUCAGGAGGACCACCGAUGGCGAAGGCAGGUCUCUGGGCAUUAACUGACGCUGAGGAGCGAAAGCAUGGGGAGCAAACAGG
rnacentral:rRNA from 1 species